AUUCAAGAAAUAAACUAUCACGAGGAGAAACGGUUUCAGACGCUUGCCUGCAUCGAUUUGCAACCCUUUGCCUUGAGCACACAGCACGGAUUAAUGCCCUGUAAACGGAUAAAGAGAAGAUGCCCGAAGUAUUCUGCGGUUUCCGUGGUUUCAACAUGAA